GGGUCAGCGACUUAUAUUCUGUAGCAAGGUUAACCGAAUAGGGGAGCCGAAGGGAAACCGAGUCUUAACUGGGCGUUAAGUUGCAGGGUAUAGACCCGAAACCCGGUGAUCUAGCCAUGGGCAGGUUGAAGGUUGGGUAACACUAACUGGAGGACCGAACCGACUAAUGUUGAAAAAUUAGCGGAUGACUUGUGGCUGGGGGUGAAAGGCCAAUCAAACCGGGAGAUAGCUGGUUCUCCCCGAAAGCUAUUUAGGUAGCGCCUCGUGAAUUCAUCUCCGGGGGUAGAGCACUGUUUCGGCAAGGGGGUCAUCCCGACUUACCAACCCGAUGCAAACUGCGAAUACCGGAGAAUGUUAUCACGGGAGACACACGGCGGGUGCUAACGUCCGUCGUGAAGAGGGAAACAACCCAGACCGCCAGCUAAGGUCCCAAAGUCAUGGUUAAGUGGGAAACGAUGUGGGAAGGCCCAGACAGCCAGGAUGUUGGCUUAGAAGCAGCCAUCAUUUAAAGAAAGCGUAAUAGCUCACUGGUCGAGUCGGCCUGCGCGGAAGAUGUAACGGGGCUAAACCAUG
rnacentral:rRNA from 1 species